AACAAACGCUGGCGGCGUGCAUAACACAUGCAAGUCUAACGGGAAUGUCGGCUUCGGCUGGCUAGUACCGUGGCGAACGGGUGAGUAACACGUGGGUAAUCUGACCUCGGGUCUGGGAUAACCUUGCGAAAGCGGGGCUAAUACCGGAUAAGACCACGCCUUGCACGCAGGGCGCGGUAAAAGGUGGCCUCUUCCUGAAAGCUAUCUCCUGAGGAUGAGCCCGCGGCCUAUUAGCUAGUUGGUAGGGUAACGGCCUACCAAGGCGACGAUGGGUAGCCGGCCUGAGAGGGUGAGCGGCCACAUUGGGACUGAGACACGGCCCAGACUCCUACGGGAGGCAGCAGUGGGGAAUAUUGCACAAUGGGCGCAAGCCUGAUCCAGCGACGCCGCGUGGGUGAUGAAGGCCUUCGGGUUGUAAAGCCCUGUGGGGAAAGACGAAAAACGCCUGUUCAAAUAGGGCAGGCGGAUGACUGUAUUUCCUUAGCAAGCACCGGCUAACUC
rnacentral:rRNA from 1 species